GAUGAACGCUGGCGGCGUGCCUAAUACAUGCAAGUCGAGCGAACAGACGAGGAGCUUGCUCCUCUGACGUUAGCGGCGGACGGGUGAGUAACACGUGGAUAACCUACCUAUAAGACUGGGAUAACUUCGGGAAACCGGAGCUAAUACCGGAUAAUAUAUUGAACCGCAUGGUUCAAUAGUGAAAGACGGUUUUGCUGUCACUUCUAGAUGGAUCCGCGCCGCAUUAGCUAGUUGGUAAGGUAACGGCUUACCAAGGCAACGAUGCGUAGCCGACCUGAGAGGGUGAUCGGCCACACUGGAACUGAGACACGGUCCAGACUCCUACGGGAGGCAGCAGUAGGGAAUCGUCCGCAAUGGGCGAAAGCCUGACGGAGCAACGCCGCGUGAGUGAUGAAGGUCUUCGGAUCGUAAAACUCUGUUAUUAGGGAAGAACAAAUGUGUAAGUAACUAUGCACGUCUUGACGGUACCUAAUCAGAAAGCCACGGCUAACUACGUG
rnacentral:rRNA from 1 species